rnacentral:rRNA from 1 species
AGUGAACGCUGGCGGUAGACCUAACACAUGCAAGUCGAACGGCAGCACAGUAAGAGCUUGCUCUUACGGGUGGCGAGUGGCGGACGGGUGAGGAAUACAUCGGAAUCUACUUUUUCGUGGGGGAUAACGUAGGGAAACUUACGCUAAUACCUCAUACUGCCUACGGGUGAAAGCAGGGGAUCUUCGGACCUUGCGCGAUUGAAUGAGCCGAUGUCGGAUUAGCUAGUUGGCGGGGUAAAGGCCCACCAAGGCGACGAUCCGUAGCUGGUCUGAGAGGAUGAUCAGCCACACUGGAACUGAGACACGGUCCAGACUCCUACGCGAGGCCGCAGUGGCGAAUAUUGGACAAUGGGCGCAAGCCUGAUCCAGCCAUACCGCGUGGGUGCAGAAGGCCUUCGGGUUGUAAAGACCUUUUGUUGGGAAAGAAAAGCAGCAGGUUAAUACCCCGCUGUUCUGACGGUACCCAAAGAAUAAGCACCGGCUCACUUCGUG